AUACUCCUUUUUCUAACUUUUUAACUUGCUGUCUGUUGUUGAAAUGUUCUGUCUAUCAUAAAAGAACAUGGAUUUGAGGUAUAAAUGGUCAAAUUCGUGUUGGCUAAGUGGCUGUGAUCCCAAACAGCCCCAGAUCAAAGUUAAACAAGAGGGCAUUGUCUUACUUUGACCCAACACUGAACGAUAGCCAUGAUCUGGAACAACUCCAAUUUUAGCCCUCCGAACAUAGUGAGUCCUUCUUUUUACAUCCACAUCGUCCCGUUGCACAGCCUGUGGUGCACCGGCAGCCUUUUAGGAGGGCAAUUACUCGUGUUUGGAUUUUGCUGAUGUUCUCCUCUGAGUCCCAAACAAUCGUGUGAAGUCGGGGUCAGAUCCAACUCGUCCGAUGUCUCGUCUACAUGCCUGGCAAACGGGUGCAUCUGGAGCUAUCAGCAGAGAUAUGGCAAUUGAGCAUGCUGACUCAUUUUUCCACUGCUGUGGUCUUGUGAAUUUGGUAUCGCUACCAUUCCACAGCUCGCAUUGUUCACGCGAUUUCAAACUGCUGUCGGAGUUAGAGAACGACAAUUUUCUUCUACUGCUCAUAAUAAACUGAUCUGAAAUAAUUGUAUAAAAUUGUAUGUUAUACAUGUUAUUCCUUCUACCUACUGUUUUUACUAAGAGU